CAGCCGCCGCGGGAAAACGUAGGGUGCAAGCGUUAAUCGGAAUUACUGGGCGUAAAGCGUGCGUAGGCGGUUCGUUAAGUCUGUUGUGAAAGCCCCGGGCUCAACCUGGGAAUGGCAAUGGAUACUGGCGAGCUAGAGUGUGUCAGAGGAUGGUGGAAUUCCCGGUGUAGCGGUGAAAUGCGUAGAGAUCGGGAGGAACAUCAGUGGCGAAGGCGGCCAUCUGGGACAACACUGACGCUGAGGCACGAAAGCGUGGGGAGCAAACAGGAUUAGAUACCCCAGUAGUCCCUGUCUCUUAUAC
rnacentral:rRNA from 1 species